UAUCUUCCGAGUGUUCAAAAA
rnacentral:piRNA from 1 species